GUCAAAUCCAAGAGUUAUUAUCCAUAUGUUACAAAUGAGAGCACUUGAGUUUCUGAGAGUUUAGACAACUUGCUCGAGGUCAUAAAAGAGCUCCUGGUGGCCAAGUGGCAGUGUUGGCCAUCACUGCAGAAGGGCACCAUGUCUGGCCUGUGGCUCCAAGGGGCUGCCGACGAGACCAUGAGCCUCAGGAGAGAGCCACAGUGAUCAGCGUGGACACAGGAUGGCACAGCCCUCACCUGGAGACGCAGAGCCUGGGUAAUGCCGCGGGUAUCCGGGCCAGGUCAGCACAAAACCGACAAGGGCCAGGGAGUGUGGGCACAAGCCAGGGGAGCCCCAUGUUCUCGAAUUCCAGUGGACCACAAUGGAAAACAGCAGGGUCAUCAGUGGAGAAAAGAAGAGGACUGAGAAAAUGAGAGAAAAACACGAAGUCCGAACAAGUUAGAGGGGACCUUGGAAAGCAGAGUUUCUGCAGCAAUAACGAAUAUCCGGGAUAGAAGCACAGAAAAGGAUCCAAUGAAAUUCUUAUCUUCCCAUUCAA